rnacentral:lncRNA from 1 species
GAGAUGGCCUUCAGAGUUACAGCCUGGCUCUACCUCCCAUUGGCUUUCUGCUUCCUGAUCCACCUGCAUGUGAGCAGGCUGCUGCUGCCAGGGCCUGGAUCUGUACCAGCUACCGUGCCUUCCCCACCGUGAUGGGCUGUGUCUCUUUAACCUAAACCAAAAUAAAUCCUUCCUCCCUAAGCCGCUUCCUAUUACAACAGUAGGAAAAGUGACUAAUACAAUUGGCAUGGCCGUAAGUUAUAAAAUGUCUGCCUCUCUCUUCCAGCUCACCUGAGACAUCACAGGGCCCACUCGGUAAUUCCCAGACACACCACGGCACAGCCUGAGAGGGAGGGGCAAGUGGAGAUACCACUAUGAAGCCAACCAGGAAUGACAGUUGGAAGAUGCUUCUGAACACUCUGCUGAACACAUGUAGCAGGUGGCUAAGUAGCCAUGAGCAGCCUGGAGUGAGCAUCGGAUGCCAUGGUGUCCCCAUCCUCCAUCCACGGGUCUCCAUGUUUGAGUAUUUGGCACCUAUCUGCUGAUGCUGCUUUCAGAAACCUCUGGAGUCCAAUUCUUUGUUCUGAGACACAAGAACUGAGAAACCUCAGCAGCUGCCUCUGGACUCCCAUCUACACCAAUGACACUGAUAUGGAGGGAGCAGAUGAGCUCCAGGUUUCUCCUGAGCUCUGCAAUCACUGCAGAACUGAGCCACUGACUGAACCAUCUCCCUGCAGCUUGGCCAUGCUGUCUCCAGGCUGU